AAUUACCAGCACCCACACUGAGUGACUCAAGUGCUUGUGACUUCUGCCACUGGGGCUGUGAUCUGUCCACACCAGCAAACCUUCACACAAUGAAACAUCAAAAACUGAAGUACUGGUAAGAGCAUGAAACAUUGGAACCUCUGUCACUACUGCAAAUGAUGCACCCAUUUGGAAAGAACACGGGAAGAGACCAGCCUUUAUAACCAUAGCUGCAAGAUCUCCAAGACUCGGCAACAGUGGAAUAUGAGAGCCAUUUCUGUGAGGGUUCUGUAUUGGUGUACCAGAAGACAGAAGCCUUGAACCAGACUAACAACUCACUGCACUGAACAUUUGCAAGUAAAGCUGUUUGGGCAAAAGGGUGUCCUGCGCGGCACAAUGCAACUCCCAAGGCCACUAAGGAAAAUGAAUAUGUGAUAGAGAGGCAGGAAAGACGUGGGAUUGAAAUGGUUUUUAUUUCUUUGUUUCAUUAUUUCUCCCUCUUUUUUAAUUUUCUUUUUUGGGGAGAGGCUACAAGGGUAGAAGGUAGGCAUGGAAGGACUUGGAAAUGAUAGAGAUUGGUGUGCAUGAUGUGAAAUUCCAAAAUAAUAAAAAAUGUCAAUAAAAACUCUAAUUAGA